UUUCCGUAGGUGAACCUGCGGAAGGAUCAUUAGUGAACGCACUCACGGGCUUAUACCGAUUCUAAACCUCUGCGAACCGUGCCCUUCGGGGCCAUUUUUCAAACAUAGUGUAAGGAUCGUCAUAUAUCAUAACAAAACAAAACUUUCAACAACGGAUCUCUUGGCUCUU
rnacentral:misc_RNA from 1 species